rnacentral:lncRNA from 1 species
UUUGAUCUGGUAUGUAACACCUUGUUCGUUGGUGAAAAAGUGCAAAUUUAUCCGAAUUGUGCUGCUAAAACAAAGUUCUUGAUAUGAGCUACCUAUAAUCAUCUAGCGCGGCUUAUAUAAUUUUUUGACAGUAAGACUCAUGGCACAGAAUAGAUCUAAUACCUCUGUUUGAACAAGAAGCAAUAGAGAAUUAAUUUGCUAGAUUUGAAAAGCACAACCCGGUAUUUUAGUGUUUGGUGAAUUGAUAGCAUCAUCACAAACACCAUACAGAUAGAGGUUUUUUGUCUAAUUAGUCAAUUAACAACAUACAUGAACAGAUACACUGGGUGAAGUAUGUGUGCAUCACCCCUCUAUCUAAUACUCAUCGCAAGCACCAAAAUAAAUUAUCUUAGUUUUGUACAGAAAUCCCAACUGAUGAAGCGAGGAUAAAUUCCAAAAGCCAGUGUUGGCAGGAACUCCUAAACCACUAACCUGAAAAAAGCAUAUACAUAUAGAGAUGAGAGCCGAAAAAUCCUUGGUCAAAAUCAGUAGCAAAACUGUACAAGUACCUCUUUUCCAACGUAAUAACACAACCAUCACCUUUUGGAAUUGAUAAAUAACGCAUGCAAGAUUUCACAUUUGGAAAGACCAUUGGCCUAACACAGGUUGAUUUUGUGCAUCUUAGUCUUCCUAUAAUAGCUAAAAAAGGGUCAAAUGUUGAUCUAUCGCUGCGAAAGGAACGUGGUUCUUCUAUGAUACUCAAAAACUCAAGACCUCAGUUGUGGCUAUCCACAAAUAAUAAGUUUUGGGCCAUAAAUAAAUAGAAUGUAGUGUUUAUCAUGUGAAAUGGCAAGUGGAAGUUCUUUAUAUUGAAAGUCGGGAGGGGGGGACCCGAGUAUUGUGGUGACUAAAUUAGCUACAGAAUAUGACCCAAGCUACCACAUUAGUGUAUGCCUAAAGAAUAGAUCUGAAAACAAAGGAUGAUGAAGUCAAGUGUGACAUACAGAUCAUAUAUCAAUACCUAAUAUCUUAUUAUCAUAAUGCAUCCCAAUCCAUGAUAAUCCCAACAACAGUUCAAGAAAAUGGCAAUCCUGUGUAGAUAGUAUAAACAUACCCACUUCACUGUAUAUUUAAUAUCAUGUGUUCAGCAUAUCAGUACCCAAUAAGGCCAACAAACCUACAUUAGAUUUCUUUAGUAUAAGAGCAGAUUUUGCGAAGCUUCUUAAAAAUGUGAUAAUGCCUCAACGGCUGAGCGCCCUACUUUUGGCAACCUUGUUCAAAGAAUUAAAAAUGAUUCAUUUUACUUUUAUAGGAGAGAAAACUAUCACAAAAGGAACACUAAAUACCUAAAAAUGAUGUAGUUCUGCAACAAUCAUCAAGCUGUAGCAUUUCCUCUGUAUGUCAGCUAUUCAGCACAUCAUGUGUUUAUUUCUUUAACAUCGGCCAUGGGGUAGAUGGAGGGGACCGGCAGCCGGAGCGAACCUGGGGAAGGAUGAGGGGAGCCUAUUAGGAUGGAGAGCAGCAGGGCAGCGAGCUAUUCGCCACCAGCUGCAGGUUUGCCCCCUUGGACCACACAAAGGACACCGCUGUUUAUCUGUGCCUUCAGGCCAGGGAGCCGGAACCGAGGAAGAUCCAUGAGGAGGCGAUGGUACGCAGCUCUCCUGAUUCAUGUUGUUGCCUGCACGCACCUCUCGGCCGGCCAGCCGGAGCGGCGACGUAGCGCGCCGUGGUAUCUCGGGUGGAGGCUGGAGGGCAGUAUCAGGAGAGAUGGGUCUAUUGGUGAGGAGCGGUUUGGGCACAGCCGUGACAUGAGAGACCCACGCCACGGGGGGCUUUUUAUACGCACAUAGAUCGGUAGAGCCACGACACGGGAUUGAACCAGAAUUUUUGGGAGAGAUAGAGAUAGCCCAGUCAAAGCGGUGGGCGGUCAAAGAGGUGGAGGUCACGAACGCUCUAGAGAGAACAGAGAAGAUCGUUACGUUCACACGUAAGUAGUUCUCGUGCGUCCCUGGUAACACGCGUAAAUCAUUAGAGGCAGUAAAAAAUCCAAAAAACCCAGGUAAAUCAUACCCUGACGGGCCUAAUCUUCUUAGUAUAAAUGAACACAAAAGCACCAACAAUUAUAUGUAUAUUCUCAUCCCACAACAGCUAAAAGUACCCAGCUCUGAUUCAUACUGCUAGCGAACAAAUUAAGAGGUGCUUCAGAUUUUCUAACUAUUUAAGUAUGUUAUGGGACCCAUGCUCAUCGUAUAAUUGAAAUAAAACCUUAGGAUACCCUAGAGUAUUGUAGUCUCUUAAGUCACAAUAAAGCAGAUGGCCUUAGCAUACCUUGUCACCCACAGCCAUGUAACACUUGAUUCCCAGCAGAUGCUUCUACCAACUAAUCAAUGCGGUGAUAAAGAUUUAACAUUAGUGAAGAGGAGAUAAACCUUCACCUGAGCUUGAAGAAAGAAAAUAGAAUAGGCUCACCUUUGAUCUGCAAUAGCACUUCCUCAAUCAUGCAGUACACAAAACAACUUCUAGUUCAUCGGUGAGCAAACGUACUAAAGCUCCUCAAAAUAUGAAAAUGUUGAAUUUUGGAGGGGAAAUGUGAGUGUUGCCCCUGGAAUUGUGAUCAGCCGUACUAUCAGAUAUUGCCAUACUGGCAUAGCUUGCUAUAUGAGUUGUAGCGAUGAAACAACCUGUUCAUGGUGGUGUACAGUUGUGCCGCCUACACAAGAUCAAA